AUUGAACGCUGGCGGCAGGCCUAACACAUGCAAGUCGAACGAGUGGCGGACGGGUGAGUAAUGUCUGGGAAACUGCCUGCUGGAGGGGGAUAAAUACUGGAAACGGUAGCUAAUACCGCAUACCAUUCGCUGUGCCCUGAUGGGAUUAGCUUGUUGGUGGGGUAACGGCUCACCAAGGCGCCGAUCCCUAGCUGGUCUGAGAGGAUGACGAGCCACACUGGAACUUGGACACGGGCCAGAGUCCUACGGGAGGCAGCAGUGGGGAAUAUUGCACAAAGGGCGCAAGCCUGAUGCAGCCAUGCCGCGUGUAUGAAGAAGGUCUUCGGGUUGUAAAGUACUUUCAGCGGGGAGGCGUUACCCGCAGAAGAAGCACCGGCUAACUCCGUGCCAGCAGCCGCGGUAAUUC
rnacentral:rRNA from 1 species